rnacentral:lncRNA from 1 species
CUUUCAGUAACGGCGUAAAACAACAGUAUAUUGCUUUGGAAUGUGUCCUCCAUGAAUUAUUAGAGUCCCCUUUAUAUAGUAGGGGAAUCCUAAUCUAGGUACAAUUUCAUAAAGGUAAAUAAUCUUCUAUUUCUCUGCCCUUUCGGGUAGGGGUAAGACCUGUCUACAUAUUACCCUCCCCAGUCCUCCACUUUGUGGGACUAUACUGGGUAGUUGUUGUUGUUGUUGUUGUAAAUAAUCUUCUAUUUAACUGAUUGACGGUUCUUCAUUGAUGUGUGCCGAGAUCCACGCCCAUGAUAUUCAUUCGGUCACGAAUAUUUCGGCCUGACAAUUUCUUCGAAGUCUUUCGAGGUUCAGCAUGAUCCCGGAUCAUGAUCCCGAUAUUCUCGAGGACGAGCAUCAUGUUUCCGGACUCUGACUUGAUGAGACCCCUGCAUCGAUUCCGAUCUCUCG